AAGUGUGCGGUGAUGAGGCAAUUUUGUGGACUAGAGUUUAUGAUCUGGGUUCUUCUCCCAAAAGCUUGAUUACAAACCCUUGGCUGUCUGAGCACACCUUCUUCAUCUGCUCCAACAUCUUCCAAUCUUCUGGUUUGAAUAAUAAAUGCUUUUCAAAGAUUACCCAUCUCAUCUUUUUGGUUUUUAGCAAUAACCCAUAAAUUUUUCAACGAAAUUUCUUAAAUUUGUUGAUAUAUAUUUCUGCAAAGUUAGGGUUUUGUGGUGCAAUUGGGGCUUAUGAUGAUAACAUACAAUUAUCUUAGCGGAUUUCAGUGAGGCUUCAGGGUCAAUGAUCUGAUUGUUACACACACUGAGGCUCAAAUCUCAUAUAUUUUUGUGUAUUUAUUUUUGCUAGAUUAAUUUUUGUUUUUCUUUUUAAUUUUGAAUGUUGGGUUGCGGUUGCGAUGAUGAGAUGAAACACUUGGACGUGUUUGGGGCAGUGGACGAGGCCUCUUCUGGGGGUUCUUUCCGUGAGCUCAUCUAACAAAACGACUUCUCCUUCCACUGAGCUUCCACUCCCCACAAUAUUUUUGAAAUUAUUUUAAGUAUUUUUAUUAAUUUCUGGAUGAAAUUGAAAUAAAGAUUUGAAAUCUGCGUCCAUUACCAAUUCUAGAGGAUUAUUUGGUUCCUCCUGAUGUAAUGGCUCGGACGCCAAAUUGAUUAUUGUGGCUAUUCUGAUCAGUGGCUUGGCAAUGCCAUUGGAUCCGGGAAACUCCUCAUACAUUAAUACACUUCAAAUCCAUACCUAUUUCUAAAAGUGCUUUUGCCGAUGGAUAAAGUGCUUUUGCAUUCUAAAAUGGUGUGACCUUGGACAAUACUAAACAGUGACAUUGAGCUACUUGUACCAAGAGAAGGAUUGGAAACAAAACUCGGUAUCCUUAUCUUGAUUUUGGCCAAAACGGCUGUAGCUAAAUUGAAACAACUGAGAGGUUUACUGGCCGGUCGUCGUUUUCUGUCGACAGAUCUGCUUACCGAGCUUCUCACAUUU
rnacentral:sRNA from 1 species